UACGUAGGGCGCAAGCGUUGUCCGGAAUCAUUGGGCGUAAAGAGCUCGUAGGCGGCCUGUUGCGUCCGCUGUGAAAUCCCGGGGCUUAACCCCGGGCAUGCAGUGGAUACGGGCUGGCUGGAGGCAGGCAGGGGAGAACGGAAUUCCCGGUGUAGCGGUGGAAUGCGUAGAGAUCCGGAAGAACACCAGUGGCGAAGGCGGCCCGCUGGGCAGUGGCUGACGCUGAGGCGCGACAGCGUGGGGAGCAAACAGG
rnacentral:rRNA from 1 species